rnacentral:snRNA from 1 species
GAAAAUACCUGGCAGGGGAGAUACCAUGAUCACGAAGGUAGUUUUCCCAGGGCGAGGCUUACCUAUUGCGCUCCAGAUGUGCUGACCCCUGCGAUUUCCCCAAAUGUGGGAAACUCGACUGCAUAAUUUGUGGUGGUAGGGGACUGCUCGUGCUUUCCCCGG